UUUACUUCCAUGAAAACAUCGCAUGUCUAGGGCUGCUUCAGAGCAGAACAGAAGGGUGCCAGAAAGAUUUCAUUCCUGAAAAGCAGCAGACAGGGAAAUAUUUGCCAGGUUGUCCUGAAGUCUUCAUGAUUGCUCUUCAAAUGCUGCAGCACAAUACUAGUGUACUGAUGAAGGAAGACAGCUCAGGAACCUGGAGACAGGAACUGAAGCAGAGACCACUGAAGAGCAGAGACUGCUACUUACUGACGUAUUCCUAUGGCUUGCUCAGCUUGUUUUGCUCAGCUUAAACAACUCAGGACCUUCUUCCCAGAGGCAGCACCACACACCACUAGCUAGGCUCCUCCCCAUAUUAAUCUUUAAUCAGGAAAAUGCUCCUACAGUGAUGGAGGUAUUUUCUCACUUGUGGUUCCCUCUUCCUGUAU